rnacentral:rRNA from 1 species
UGAGAGGAAGGCCCCCCACAAUGGGACUGAGACACGGCCCAUACUCCUACGGGAGGCAGCAGUGAGGAAUAUUGGUCAAUGGGCGGAAGCCUGAACCAGCCAUGCCGCGUGCGGGAAGGAGGCCCUAUGGGCUGUGAACCGCUUUUGCCUGGGGGCAAUAAGGGCGUCGCGCACGUCCGAUGAGAGUACCAGGCGAAUAAGCAUCGGCUAACUCCGUGCCAGCAGCCGCGGUAAUACGGGGGAUGCGAGCGUUAUCCGGAUUCAUUGGGUUUAAAGGGUGCGUAGGCUGUGCGUCAAGUCGGGGGUGAAAUUCCGGUGCUCAACACCGGGGCUGCCCUUGAUACUGUCGCGCUGGAGUGCGGAUGCCGCCGGAGGAAUGAGUGGUGUAGCGGUGAAAUGCUUAGAUAUCACUCAGAACACCGAUUGCGAAGGCAUCUGGCGAAUCCGUAACUGACGCUGAGGCACGAAAGCGUGGGGAUAGAACAGGAUUAGAUACCCUGGUAUUCCACGCCGUAAACGAUGAUGGCUAACCGCCGGCGACACACUGUCGGUGGCCAAG